rnacentral:miRNA from 1 species
UGGCUACAUGUGUGAUGCUUACA